rnacentral:lncRNA from 1 species
UUUUUUGCUUUAGGUGUGGAAGAUUUAUGGAUAUUUCUCAAUUCACAGGGUGCUAAAUUGAGGGCUUCUAAUGAGACGAUUUCCCCCCUUUCUUCUUCAGGAUAAAAAUGGUUAUUUAUUCAAUAAUGUUUUGGACAGUGUAAAGCUAAGCUGAGUGAGAACCAUGCUAGCCACAGUAGAAAAGGAUUUUAUUUUAAUACCUUCCAUUAUUUCUUUCACUCGGAUUCCCUGUCGGCCUAUCCAAGCAUGAUAUUUUUUCAUUCAAGUUGAACAUAGAUUUAGUGGUUUAGAGGCAUCCUUUGUUCCCCAUGGGAACUGGGGAUAAAAAACAAUAGCUGCAAGUUGUAAGGUAGGAUUCCUCGGUGGAAAUCCCUCUAAGAAUAACUCCUAUACAAGUUGCUUUAUUUAAUUUUUAUUUCAUUUCUCUUGUAAGCAGGGAUUAAGGCUAGCCCAUUACACAUUAUUAUGCAUGGUCUCUUGAGCAUUUAAAUGGGAAUUCUUUCAGCUUCAUUUGGCUUCCAAUUUGUUUUGACUGUGGAAGCUGAUUAAUAUAGGUUAUAUCUGCCUGGCAAAAUCGAUGACCUGUAACUUACCAGUUACCAGGUUUUCGCAAAUGCAGUUCUUGCUUAACAAAUAAUAAUCUAUCCAUCAUCCUGUUCCCCACCCGAUCAAUGCUUUUGCAGCUAAAUAAGUUUUUUUAAUGCUUUUAUUGCAUUGUUUGAAUAGUUACCAGGUUUUUGCAAAUGCAGUUCUUGCUUAACAAAUAAUCAUCCAUCCAUCAUCCUGUUCCCCACCCGAUCAAUUGAUAUUUGAUAUCAAUUCCUACUUUGCCUUUUUAGGGUAGCUACUUGAGCUUUUGCAGCUAAAUAAGUUUUUUAAUGCUUUCAUUGCAUUGUUUGAAUAGUUGACAGAGUCUGGAUGCUGAUACAUGUAAAAUGGGCAAUGUCUGAAGUUGCGACCAGAAGCAGAUUCUAACUUGAUCUAGAUCAGUUGCCAUGGCAUUACUGCAGACAGACCUGCUUAUUGCAGUUUUAUCACUGGCAGUUCUGUAUUCUUUUGUCUCACCUGAUGCCCAAGGUAUUAUGCUAAUUGUCACUUUAUAAGUCAUCCAACUGGUGUAAAAUAUGCACUCAUUUUGUGUCUCGCUACAUCUUUCUUUCUGCACAUUUUGAGUUCUUAUAUCAAUAAAAGAAAGUAGAAUAUAGGCUGGUCUGUGGAGUCUUUUGGGCUUUAUUAUCAUAGGAUGGAAACUAUUAAGCGAAGAAUCAUUGUCCAUAGAGUGAAUGACCAGAAAGGUUUCAUGAAAGAAAUUUCCUGUGUACCUUUCUCCCCUCUCCCUAUCCGCAGAAAUGGAAUACAUUUUGGUUUCUCAUUCUUGUUCCACA